UAUAGUGGGAUUUAGGCAUAUAAAUGUGUAUCAGGACUAAAAUCUUUAACUAAAGACUUUGUAAAAUGAUUAUUUUUAUAUCUGAGAUUGAUAUCAUCAUCCUUUGGUUUUUAAUAAUGGUUCACUGGUGCCACACCAAUAGAGUGCCUGAGUGCCAAAACAGUGCCUGUCCACAUUUUCAGCCGUCUUGAUUCCGGAAGUAUUUUUCUGAUUAAUUUUUUCCAUAGGGAUUUUAUAAAAGUCUUUUUAAAAUAGUUAUAAGCCAUGAACCAAACCAACCAGCCCUGAGGUGAAACACAAGAUUACAACCUUUGAUUUAAAGCAAAAAUGUAUUUGAAUUCUGGACAAAAAGUUAAAGGUACAACACUGUGUAUAUUUCAUCUGCAGUGCGUCAUAAGCAAUCGCUACACUGCUUGUUUGCCGCUACACUCUGCUGACUGAUGGUUUCACCAGGAAUAUGUACCAUCGAUAAAGCAACCUUGGAGCUCACGUAGGCUAUAGACUCUACAUAAAGCCCAUCUCUGUCCCCCGAGACCUGGAUUUAAUCGCUAUCUCGCGCUUUUGACUCCAGGCCAUGAAGUGUCAGAUUUAAUAUAUGCUAUGCCCUCUUCGUAAGCGGUGGUCCAUCGGCUAAUGUCUUAGCCACAGCGGGGUCUCGACCAUCUCCAACCUACCUCCAUGGUAAGCUGAGAAGAGCAGUGGCGUUAUGCAUGCUAAUUUUUAAUGCAGGCCUCAGCCGCUGGGUUUGUCUCCCCCCUUUUUGCACCCCAUAUCAAUAGCUUCCUCCAUCUCUGGUGCCCACGUCCUCCUCCUUUCCGGCAGUCCGAGAGGAAGCAGGUGGAGAGGUCAGAGCACUAAUGAGAUGCUCGGGGAGCGAACGACAGGAGUGUGCAUGUGUAAAUAAUCUCUUAAUUACAGGGAGAUGCACUAUGAAUAGGAAACCCUUCCCUGUGAUAUCUUCAUUUUCUUCCUUCAAACACCCCUCCACCCGAACAACCCCCACUGCCAGUUUCACAGAAUCACAAAGAGCCAUUUAUUCAAAGAUUAAAGCAAACUCCAUAAGAUUGCUGUAUAAAAAGGUAAUUUACAAUAUUAAACUGGCUUUUAUCUAUAUGCAAAUUACCCCACCCCCUAUUCUUAUUUAAAUAGUUUACGAGAAGGUUUUGAGGGCGGUAUUUUUGUACGGGAGCACAUAACUUGGUUAGGUUGUGAUGAAAACGAUUAGCACGAUUAUUUAUUUACUUUAUAUUUCCUAUGAGUUUAUUUAUUUCAGUUAUGCCAAUGGUUUCCUCGUGAGCUGAGUUAUGAGAUCUUACAUGAAGAUUAUUGCUGCAGACUAUUGUUUUACUGGGUGGAAUUUUCGCCUGAGGGCUUUCCCACUUUCAUAUCAAUAUCGAGGGUCAAGCUUAUUUUCCAGGUCUCCUUUCAGCGUGAUAACAUGGAUCGUGAUGACUCCUUGACAUUUAUAAUUCCAGAUGGCGUUAAAAUGUUUGAGUGCAUGAGAACACAGACUCCCGGUUGAUGUGAUAUCCCAUCCUUAAACUUCCCAACCUCAAUGUGGUGGAGGCCUCAGUAGCUGCAUUUACAUGAACCCUGGUAAUUCGUUUGUGAUCGGACUAGAAGCUCAAUCCAAAUAAAAAAGUCUCAUGUAACCACAUCAGUCGGAUUAAAUUGGCCACAUCCGAUUUAAAUUUAAUUCGGAUUGUAAGAGGUGGUGUAAACCUUUUCUAAUCCAUUUGAAAAGAGAAUUGUUUCAUGUUAACACUUGAUCGGAUUGCUUUAUGAAAAUCGGAUGAUCUGCACAUGUUCAGUACUGACGCAGUAAUGGCGUCAUGACGUUUCAUCCACAAUGACACACUUUCAUCACAGUGGGCAUAUUUGUGACCAUCAGCAUAAAGAAGCAAUAGCAGUGAAUGGAGAAACACCUUUGAAAUGAUGUCAAUAAAAGCAUCCAAAAGUUGCUUUUGAUCCAUGUCAAGUGCCAGGAAAAGUGUGUACAUGUCUGAAGUCAGCAGAAAUGUUGCCAGAUUUGACUUUCACUGACAUGUAAAUAUAUUUUAUUCACGAUUCAUCUUCGUAUGCUGGCCUGUCUGAUGUGUGAUUGGUGAGCACACACACCCAGCGGUAUAUCACCGUAAACAUCUCUCAUUCAGAAGUUACAAAUGUUUGUGUUGUUUUCUGGUCUGAUUUGGUCACUAUAUUACUAAACGUCUGUGAUGAUCCCGCCUAUAUUAAAGUAAGAUCUGCUUUUAGCUUAUAAAGAGAACACAGAAAGCAAUCGAGGCAAACAAACCUAUGCAAAUUAUUAAUUAAUACUAUUAUGUUUUAUUUAUGUUGUCAUGCAUAUGUUGUCUCUUUUGUAGCAUAAUGUAGUUAAUUUAAAAAUAUCUAGCAUUUUCCAUAUCAACUUGCUGUGUAAAUAUGACUGUUUUUACAUUGUAAUCUGGUGGCGUGAAU